GACGAACGCUGGCGGCGUGCCUAAUACAUGCAAGUAGGACGCUGAAGAGAGGAGCUUGCUCUUCUUGGAUGAGUUGCGAACGGGUGAGUAACGCGUAGGUAACCUGCCUUGUAGCGGGGGAUAACUAUUGGAAACGAUAGCUAAUACCGCAUAACAAUGGAUGACACAUGUCAUUUAUUUGAAAGGGGCAAUUGCUCCACUACAAGAUGGACCUGCGUUGUAUUAGCUAGUAGGUGAGGUAACGGCUCACCUAGGCGACGAUACAUAGCCGACCUGAGAGGGUGAUCGGCCACACUGGGACUGAGACACGGCCCAGACUCCUACGGGAGGCAGCAGUAGGGAAUCUUCGGCAAUGGGGGCAACCCUGACCGAGCAACGCCGCGUGAGUGAAGAAGGUUGUCGGAUCGUAAAGCUCUGUUGUAAGUCAAGAACGAGUGUGAGAGUGGAAAGUUCACACUGUGACGGUAGCUUACCAGAAAGGGACGGCUAACUACGUG
rnacentral:rRNA from 1 species